rnacentral:rRNA from 1 species
GUGGGGAAUAUUGGACAAUGGGCGAAAGCCUGAUCCAGCCAUGCCGCGAGUGUGAAGAAGGUCUUCGGAUUGUAAAGCACUUUAAGUUGGGAGGAAGGGCAGUAAGUUAAUACCUUGCUGUUUUGACGUUACCGACAGAAUAAGCACCGGCUAACUUCGUGCCAGCAGCCGCGGUAAUACGAAGGGUGCAAGCGUUAAUCGGAAUUACUGGGCGUAAAGCGCGCGUAGGUGGUUUUGUAAGACAGGCGUGAAAUCCCCGGGCUCAACCUGGGAAUUGCGCUUGUGACUGCAAGGCUGGAGUGCGGCAGAGGGGGAUGGAAUUCCGCGUGUAGCAGUGAAAUGCGUAGAUAUAGGAAGGAACACCAGUGGCGAAGGCGACUACCUGGACUGAUACUGACACUGAGGUGCGAAAGCGUGGGGAGCAAACAGGAUUAGAAACCCUUGUAGUCC